rnacentral:lncRNA from 1 species
GGCACAGGAGCCCUUCUUACAAUGGCUCCUGCUUCUUAGCAAUGAGUCAUCCUUGCCGCAUGUACAUACUGUGAGUUACGGAGACGAUGAAGACUCCCUCAGCAGUGUCUACAUCCAGAGAGUCAACACUGAGUUCAUGAAGGCUGCUGCUCGGGGUCUCACCCUCCUUUUUGCCUCAGGUGACACUGGAGCUGGGUGUUGGUCUGUCUCCGGAAGACACAAGUUCCGUCCUAGCUUCCCUGCUUCUAGGUAAGUACCCCACUCUUUCAUGUGUGACUUUGAUGCCACCAGGAGCUGCUAUGGCUCAGCCUUCAGCAUUACCUGUUGGGGUUCCUGUGCUCCCUUCCCUUUUCUUCCUGUAUAUCCCAGGCUGUGACAGCAGAAUAUGUUGUUUUGUUCCCUUAGUUGUUAGGGUUUGGUUUUUAGGCAGAAAAGUAUAUACAAUUAAUUCCAGCCAUGUCUUGAAGGCAUCCAGUCUGUCGGUACACAGGCUCCCAUAGUCUUACUCUCCUUUCCAGUAAGACCCAGACCGUACCCACUCACCUCCACACAUCUUGGACAUCACCCAUUGUCUUAGUCAGAGUUUUAUUGCUGUG